rnacentral:tRNA from 1 species
GUCUCCAUAGUCUAGUGGUUAGGACGGCGGUCUCAUAGUAAUAUGACAGAUCCUAUCUAAAGGAGCUGCGAUCCGCAAGCACGAGUUCGAUUCUCGUUGGAGGCA